rnacentral:piRNA from 1 species
UUCGAGUGACAGCACCAUGAGUCUCUGCC